GAGUUUGAUCUUGGCUCAGAUUGAACGCUGGCGGCAUGCCUUACACAUGCAAGUCGAACGGCAGCACGGGAGCUUGCUCCUGGUGGCGAGUGGCGAACGGGUGAGUAAUGCAUCGGAACGUAUCCUGGAGUGGGGGAUAACGUAGCGAAAGUUACGCUAAUACCGCAUAUUCUGUGAGCAGGAAAGCGGGGGACCUUCGGGCCUCGCGCUCUUGGAGCGGCCGAUGUCGGAUUAGCUAGUUGGUGA
rnacentral:rRNA from 1 species